CAGGAUCCUCGAUUUAGCUUCCAUUUGUUCUUCCCAUUAAGGUACAGCUGACUUCCUGAACUGACACCUUGAAACUACACUACCUGUACAGCUGCUUGCUCUGGCUAGAGAGAAGAGAUGAGCAAACGGUGCCUUUUGCGUGGUCACUGGCUCAGCAGUUUCCAUGGAAAUAAAUCGGAGGCAUUACUUUUGGAGCAACUAUGCGGCCCAAGAUAAUUUGUCUUGACUCAGUGUGAUCCAGGCAAGCCAAAAGGUUGCACACCCAUGAAAUAAGCCAAGAAAGUACAUGGACUGCAAGAAAAUUCUUUUUGGUCUACUGACAUCCCUGUUUAAUUAAUAAGUGCUGUCACACAUUCAGCAAGCACGCAUAUCGCUCUUGGUCUUGGUAAGAGCCACUCUCUUUUCCAGUGCUGUGAGUCAUUCAGUCUUCACAAGGUUUUGUCCUCUUCACCAGUCACAAAAAAAUAUUUGUUUGGAAUUUGGUAAACUGAAGUGGAAGUGUCCUCGCCGCUGAGAAUUUACACUGGGACCAGAAUGAUGCCUGCUCUUCCCUCACACAAGGAUGCAGAGCCUAUCGAAGGAAGGGAAUUACAAAAUGAC
rnacentral:lncRNA from 1 species